CGUUAUAAAAUCUGUGAAAUAUAGUUUAUAGUUCUUCUGGAGAAAAAAAAAAAAGUCUGUAUGUACAUGUAAGCAAUUUCAGAUCUAUCACCACCAAUUAGCUAAUUCAGUUGAUUAUUCUUCCAGAUGUCCAGACUGAUUUUCGUUGCUCUGGUUGUGACGUGGAUGUGCUGGCUUUUUAUAUGCAUGCAAUGCUGGACUUCUUGAAAGAGCAAAGCAAGUGUACAGGGACACAAAGGCUAAAGUUCUAAAUGUUGGGGGCACAAGUGGCUGGGUUUGCUGGCAUGUACUAUAAGGAACAUAUCAAACCUGUAACUGACUCUUACAUGGAGCGGGCUAAAGACCGUGCAAGUGCCCAGUGGGAGAGAGUGAAAAGCAGAGUGCCCACCUUCAGAUCAACCCAAGAUCAAGACCAAUCAAACCUCAUAGAAAUUUUUAAGAUAUAGACAUUGUGGAAUUAAUACACCAAAUCAUACCUUCAGUGUAGUCAUGCCAUUGUAAUAAUGCACAACUAAACACAAAGUGCAAUUACACUAUGCUAAAAUGUACAUGAAGAUUAUAAAUUAAUAGUACAAUUAUUUUUCUGUAUGUUUCCUUUUAACACUAAAUUAACAAACAUGGAUUAUGUUACAAAAAAAAGGGAUUGUUGAAUCUUAGCAUGAGAAAUGCAUUGAUGAAGUAAAUAGGAAAAAAAAGUUAAAGAAGAAGACAAAAGACAACAAAAAAAAAGAUGGAAAAUGAUUGGAAGCGAUAAAUAUUUGACCAACAAUUUAAUGUAUUUAAGAUUAUGAAAAAGGAAGAAAAAAGGUCCACAGGUUGUAGAUUAGACAUGUUAUCUUACAAAGGGGAAUGUUUACUAGGGUCUGCUUCUGUCUAUUUGGCAUGUGGAAAGUUUUUACAACCUUUGGACAGCCUUUGCUUAACCCCCAUUAGUUUAUGUACAUUAAAGUAAGGAAUAUUGAUUCUGGCACUCAAAAAUGAAACGGCUGUCUGAGCACAAUCAGUAAAUUUAGUGCUGAAUAGGUUAAAAAAUGUUAUAUGUUUAUUUGAAUGUUUUCUAUACUUCUGUGUAUAGAACAAACACAGAUAUUAACCGUAAUUAACUGUAAGCCAGAUAAAUAUUGCUUCUGAAUAAUAUGUACUGUGUAGAUAUAGUUAAUAAAAAGGUACAUAGUUUCCAUAUUAUAUUUGAAUAAUAUUUUUUGGCUUCAGUAUCGUAACAAUAUAAAAGCCAAUUAUAUAGCAUUGCAUAAUAUC